GUUAUCCGCGUGCGAGAAGCCGGUGAUAUCGGUAGAGUGCGGUCGUUGGUGUGAAUUUCGGUGCGUAAAGAGUGGUGAGGCGGGUCGCUAAGGUUGGUGGGAAAUCCCCCGGCGUAACUGGGAGGGUGCGCCGGAAACUGGAAUGCUCGAGCGUGGGAGAGGAAAGCGGAAUUCCGGGUGUAGCGGUGAAAUGCGUAGAUAUCAGGAGGAACACCUGCGGUGUAGACGGCUUUCUGGACCAUUGCUGACGCUGAGACACGAAAGCGUGGGUAGCAAACAGGAUUAGAUACCCGAGUAGUC
rnacentral:rRNA from 1 species